ACCUGAGUGGCUCAGUUGGUUGAGCAUCUGACUCUUGAUUUCAGCUCAGGUCAUGAUCCCAGGGUUGUGGGAUCAAGCCCCACAUCGGGCU
rnacentral:tRNA from 1 species